CUAGUAAAGAAGUUUUACAAGCUCGUCUUGAUAAAAUUUUGGUAAAAGUCAAAUUUAUUUUGUAUGUAUUAAAAUAUAUUAUAUUUGAAUAGUUACUUUUUUUUAGGAAUUACUAAAAUCACAAGAAGAAGGUCAGCUAAUUAUUCAUUCCACUGUAAAUUCUGGUGAAAAAGUUCUUAGGAGUACUAGAUCUGAUGGAAAAGACUUAAUUAACAAUCAAUUAAAAGAAAUUCAAACAGAUUGGGAUAGGCUUGUAAAAAAAAUAGCUACAUCUAAAGUUCAUAUUGAAACAAGUCUUCUACAAUGGGCCGAUUACAAUUCAUCAUAUUCACAUCUAGAACAAUGGAUCUCAGAUCGCGAAGCUAAACUGGAAGAAGUUUGUGAACUUAAAGUAAAAAGACAUUUAUUCAUUAUAAUAUUUUUAUACAUAAUAAAAGUAUAGUACAAUUCUUAAAUAUGAAUAAAAUCAGAAGAUAUUAAAUUAUAUACGUUGCUUUUUUACUAUUAACAUUAAAAGAAAUUAUUUUGUUUGUGUUCAUAGGUAGUUAAUACUUAAAUUUUAAAUAUUAUUAAAAUCAAUUUUAUACAUUUUUAAAAUAUAUUUUCAAUUAGGUAACAAAAGCAAAAAAAAAUCAAACCGGAAUUGGAUCAUUGAGUAUUGGAGAACGAAAAGCAACACUACGUAGAACAAAUAGUAUUGUUCAAGAUAUUGUUUCAUUUGAACCUAUGAUUCAAAAAGUAACACUUAAGGCAGAAGACUUACAACAAGGUGUACCUGCAAAUGAAAUAACUAACAAAUAUCAUACAUUGAGUAUUAAAGCUAAAGGUCUUUAUGAAAAGCAAAAAGAAACAGUAAGAUUACAUCAAGAAUUCAUUGAUGCUGGAAAUGAUUUUGCUAUUUGGCUAAGGUCAUCUAAAGAACGUGUUAGCAAAAUAUCUGAACCAACAGGAGAUAAAGAAAUGUUGAGUGCUAAAUCUGUUCAAUUUAAGGUACCUACUCGAUAUUACAAUCUUGUUUAAAUAUUAAAAUUAUUUAUGAUUUUAUUAUUGUUCUAGGUAUUACAGAGUGAAUUACCCGAAGGACAAAAAAAAUUAGAGAUUGCUCUCGAAAGAGCAGAAAAAGCAUGUUCAUUCGCCGAUGAAGAAGAAAAAGAAAUUAUUGAACAGGAAGUAGUUAUGCUACAAGAAGAAUUUGAUAUACAUAAUGACAUACUUCAAAAAACUAAAACAUUGUUAGAAGUAAAUACAAUUUAUUAUUAGAAAUGUUACUUGUUUAUUUAAAUAUAUAUUGAUCUAUACAUAUUAUCUAUUAAUAUUUAUCUAUAUGUAUUUUUAACUUUAGGAUGGCAUUUACAAAUGGAAUGAUUUUGAUGAUUAUUCUAAAGGUGCCACAGAGUGGUUAAAUAAUACUGAGCUACUUGUACAAUCAUAUAAUAAACUACAGCCAAGUCUAGAUGGGAAAAAGGAAGCACUAGAAGAAUUUCAAACUCAAUUACAAAUGCUAUUUGACUGGCAGAAAGAAUUGGAUAUUUUAAAUGGAAAAGCACAGGUAUUCAAUUGAAAUAGUUAUUUUAAAAUAUUAUUCCUCCUUAUUAUAUUAAUAUUAAAUGUUUUUAAAUUUAGGUUCUUUUGGAAACAUGUUCUGAUACACGUUUAUCAAAUUCAAUAACCCAAAUGACAACUAAAUACAAUACAUUACUAUCCUUAGCUAAAGAAGUUAUGCGACGUUUAGAAUUACAUUAUCAAGAGCAUCAACAACAUAAUUCAUUAUACCAGGAAUGUCUAGAUUGGCUUGAAAGAACUCGAGAUAAGGUAUUUUUACUAAUAAAAAUGCACAUACAAAUUAUUAAUAAAAAAUGUUUGUUUUAAGUUAAAUGAAUGUGAAGAAAUACCAAACAGGUUAAAUGAAGUUAAAAAUAAACUUCAGAGCUUAAAGGUUAUUAGGCAAACACUUGAACAAGGUCAAAAUCGUUUAAGAUACAUAAUGGAAUUAAAAGAAAAAGUUGUACUUAACACUGAAUCUCAAGGUACUGUUAAAAUUGAAGAAGACACUGAAAAUUUAAGACAAGAAUUUGACAAACUUUCAAAUAAAAUCCAAGUAAGUAAUGAUUAAUGUUAUGUACUUAAUAAGAAUCUAAAAUGUAUAUAACUGUCAACUGUCUUUUGUAAAAGGCGUGUAACAAUAAUUUAACUUUGAGAGUAACACAACUUGAAGAAUUAGAGAAAUGUAUAAAAAUAUUAAAUGAAUGCUUGGACGAUAUAAGUUCUAAAACUAAUGGAAAUGAUCUUGAUCAACCAUUAAAUGAUUUAAGUGAAAAGAAAACAGCGUUUGAGAAAUUUAAAUCCUUACUUCGUGAACUUAAUACCCACAAUGAUUUAGUAUGUAUAAAACCAUAAACUGAAAUUUAAAACUUUAUUGACAUUUUUUAUAUAACUUAUAUUACCUAUAAAUAGGUUAAUCGCUUAUCAACCAAUAUGAAUAAUGAAUCUUCAACUCAAGAAUCAGUUACUUGUAUAUCUAGAUAUAACAAUCUUAUUACUGUGGUAAGAUAAAUUCAAAUGUUUAUUCAACAAUACAAAAACAAAAUAAAUCCAAUUAUAUAUUCUUGUAAUUUUAGAUAAACAAAAAAUUAUCUGCUAUGGAAAGUCAAGUAACGGAACAUGAAGCUUAUAGAAAUGCAUUGAUAAACAUAAAUGAUUGGUUACGAAAAACUCGAGUUUCAGUUCAAAGUUGUGCAGAUACGCAUGGUGAUUGUAAAGUUAAUGCUUCUAAAAUUAUCCAGCUAAAAGAUAUUGAAGAAUCUUCCCAGAACGGUGAAGGAAUGAUUAAAGAUAUUUUAGCACAAAUUGAAGUGCUUAAAAAUACUACUGGACCAGAAGGUUGUGAUAAAUUGAACCAAGAUAAAAAUCAAUUGAACUGUGACUGGGACGAGCUAAAGCAUUUUAUUAAGGAAGUGCAAUCGUCAUUAAAUAAAUGCGCAAAGGCAUGGGAAGACUUCAAUGUAGUAUACAAAGCAUUAAAAGACUGGGAAACAGAUCUAUCAAAUAAAGUCAACACAGCUGCUUCGUCUAACGAAACAUACACUCCAGAUGAUUUAGACCAGUACAAGCUUUGGCUACAAGAAAUUAUAAACCAAAAUGUAUCCAUUGAAGAACUUACUGACCGUUGUGAGUUAUUAAUGGAAUUAAGUGCAUGCAAUUGGGUUAGGGAUGACACACUUAAAAUACAAUCAUCAUAUACAACAUUAUUAACUACAACUCAAGGGUUAGUAUUUUAUUUCUUAAGAAUUUUAAUUAGAUCAAAUUGUUUUAUUAUCUAUACAUUUUAUAUUUUUAUAAUUCAUUAGACUUGUAUCAAAAGCAGAAAAAAGCUUGACUGAUCAUACUGAAUUUAUUGCUGCAAAAGAAAAAGUUGAAGAAUGGUUAAAUCGCGCUCAUGGUACAGUUCAAGAUUGUAUAGGCGAAGGUGAUUUAGGUUGGGUGAAGGAUAAAUUACAAACAGUAAACCUUGUUUCUUCCAGAAUAACCGAAGGUACCUAAUAAUAAGUUAUUAAAUAUUUUACAAUAACUAUUUUUUUUUUCUAUUUUUACAAUCGAAAAAAUUGUGCUAUACUAAAAUUUAACAACAAUAUUCUUUUAAUUUUAGGCCAAUAUUUAAUGAAUGGAAUGCAAGAAGUAUUUACU
rnacentral:lncRNA from 1 species